rnacentral:tRNA from 1 species
GGUCGGUUAGUGUAGUUGGUUAUCACAUCGGAUUCUGAUUCCGGUAACCGGGGUUCGAAUCCCCGACUGACCU